rnacentral:rRNA from 1 species
GAUGAACGCUAGCGGCAGGCUUAACACAUGCAAGUCGAGGGGCAGCAUACCCAGCAAUGGGUGAUGGCGACCGGCGGAAGGGUGCGUAACGCGUGAGCAACAUGCCCAUAUCAGUGGGAUAAUCCAGGGAAACUUGGUCUAAUACCACAUAGUAUCUUUUAGAGACAUCUUUAAAAGAUUAAAGAUUUAUCGGAUAUGGAUUGGCUCGCGUGACAUUAGCUGGAUGGUAGGGUAACGGCCUACCAUGGCAAUGAUGUCUAGGGGUUCUGAGAGGAAGGUCCCCCACACUGGAACUGAGACACGGUCCAGACUCCUACGGGGAGCAGCAGUGAGGAAUAUUGGACAAUGGAUGGAAAUCUGAUCCAGCCAUGCCGCGUGCAAGGAAGAAGGUCCUAGUGGAUUAGUAAACUGUCUUUUGUACGGGAGCAAGUAAGGGCUAUGCGUAGUUCGAUGAGAGUACCGUACGAAUAAGGAUCGGACUAACG